AACGAACGCUGGCGGCAGGCUUAACACAUGCGAGUCGAACGGUCUCUUCGGAGGCAGUGGCAGACGGGUGAGUAACGCGUGGGAAUCUACCUGAUACUACGGAACAACAGAGGGAAACUUCUGCUAAUACCGUAUACGCCCUACGGGGAAAGAUUUAUCGGUAUCAGAUGAGCCCGCGUAAGAUUAGCUAGUUGGUGGGG
rnacentral:rRNA from 1 species